CCUACAGGAGGCUGCAGUGGGGAAUAUUGGGCAAUGGGCGCAAGCCUGACCCAGCAACGCCGCGUGAAGGAAGAAGGCUUUCGGGUUGUAAACUUCUUUUAAGAGGGAAGAGCAGAAGACGGUACCUCUUGAAUAAGCCACGGCAAACUACGUGGCAGCAGACGCGGUAAUACGUAGGUGGCACGCGUUGUCCGGAUUUACUGGGUGUAAAGGGCGUGCAGCCGGGAAGACAAGUCAGAUGGGAAAUCCCGGGGCUCAACCGCGGAACUGCAUUUGAAACUGUUUUUCUUGAGUACCGGAGAGGUAAUCGGAAUGCCUUGUGUAGCGGUGAAAUGCGUAGAUAUAAGGAAGAACACCAGUGGCGAAGGCGGAUGACUGGACGGCAACUGACGGUGAGGCGCGAAAGCGUGGGGAGCAAACAGGAUUAGAUACCCUGGUAGUC
rnacentral:rRNA from 1 species